GGAGCAGUGGCCCACUGUCCCCGCCCCAUGGACCCGGGCCACUGUCCUGCUAUUGUAUUUGGGUGGCCAACUUUUCUUCUGUCUCAUUCACUCUCCCCGGCCCCUUCGAUCCCAGGCAACAACACCCACUGCCAAGGAACAGAGAAGAAAAGGGAGAGCCCGUAGCAUCUGGGCUGAAUUAAAUCACGAAGCACAAAAGCGUCCAGGCGAUUGGAAGCCAGCAUUCUGGGGGAAGGACCACAGCCCUCACGUUGUUUCUGGUCUCCCGGCGGAUCACUUCCUCAAACAGGUUAUGAGCUCUUCUGAGCUCAAUUCACACCCAGCACACAGCGGAUACAUCAGUUUAGAAUCUGGUCCUACAUGAAAUGUGAGCACCCUGGAGAGUACAGAAAGCAAAACUUCUUGAGCAAGUAGCCCCCAGAGCUUUCUGACAAUACGUUGUAUCCAGUGAACUCUCAGGAAACUAGCAGGGAACUUUCUGGAAUGCAGCUACCAUUUUGUGACCAUGACCUCAAAAAUAGAUGCAAUCUUACAGAGAAGAAAAGUUACCCUUUAUGCUUACCUUCUGCACUAUCCCCCAUCCAUGAACUGGCUGAACUUCUCUCUGAGACAGUGCCUAUCACUGCCACGUGAGACCACGGGAAAUACGGGAACAGAAAAGAAUGAAAAAACGCAUAAUAUCAAAUCAAUGUCACAAAUUAAAUAUGGAAGUCAAGGAGCCUAGUGGCGUGAUGCAGUUCAUAGGCUGUUGAUCAGAUAAUGACUGUGGGGGCUAAAAAAAAAAAAAACAACAACAACAAAAAAAAGGCAAAACAAAGCAAAAACCAAAACGAAAGCAAAGCAGAUAAAUAUAACUGGCUUGUCUUAUUA
rnacentral:lncRNA from 1 species